CCUGUGAUCCCUUUUCUUCUCCGUGGCAUGCUGGGAGGCAGUGAGGUCAGAUCACUUCCUCCUCAGUGCCGCUGGGGAGGAGGCACACACCACACGGAGGAGGAUGCAAGCAUUGUGGGGGAGAGAGACUGAGAAAGCUGAUGGCAGACUCCCAUCAGCCUGGGCCAGCAAGCUCUCACUGGACCCCAGGGAAGCCACCUUUCUGUACCCAAAAGGUAAGGAGACAGGAGGGUGGCUAAAU